rnacentral:rRNA from 1 species
GAUGAACGCUGGCGGCGUGCCUAAUACAUGCAAGUCGAGCGAACAGACGAGGAGCUUGCUCCUUUGACGUUAGCGGCGGACGGGUGAGUAACACGUAGGUAACCUACCUAUAAGACUGGGAUAACUUCGGGAAACCGGAGCUAAUACCGGAUAAUAUUUCUAACCGCAUGGUUCGAUAGUGAAAGAUGGCUUUGCUAUCACUUAUAGAUGGACCUGCGCCGUAUUAGCUAGUUGGUAAGGUAACGGCUUACCAAGGCAACGAUACGUAGCCGACCUGAGAGGGUGAUCGGCCACACUGGAACUGAGACACGGUCAAGACUCCUACGGGAGGCAGCAGUAGGGAAUCUUCCGCAAUGGGCGAAAGCCUGACGGAGAAACGCCGCGUGAGUGAUGAAGGUCUUCGGAUCGUAAAACUCUGUUAUUAGGGAAGAACAAACGUGUAAGUAACUGUGCACGUCUUGACGGUACCUAAUCAGAAAGCCACGGCUAACUACGUG